UACGAAGGGGGCUAGCGUUGCUCGGAAUCACUGGGCGUAAGGGGUGCGUAGGCGGGUCUUUAAGUCAGGGGUGAAAUCCUGGAGCUCAACUCCAGAACUGCCUUUGAUACUGAGGAUCUUGAGUCCGGGAGAGGUGAGUGGAACUGCGAGUGUAGAGGUGAAAUUCGUAGAUAUUCGCAAGAACACCAGUGGCGAAGGCGGCUCACUGGCCCGGUACUGACGCUGAGGCACGAAAGCGUGGGGAGCAAACAGG
rnacentral:rRNA from 1 species